UCGUCUGCCGCCUCGGAGUCGCCUCCCCUGGCGCCGUCGCCAUAGCCAUGGCCAGUCAGUCGCAGGGCAUCCAGCAGCUGCUCCAGGCGGAGAAACAGGCCGCCGAGAAGGCGUCCGAGGCCCGCAAGCGAAAGAACCGGAGGUUGAAGCAGGCCAAGGAAGAAGCCCAGGCUGAAAUUGAACAGUACCGCCUGCAGAGGGAGAAGGAGUUCAAGGCCAAGGAAGCUGCGGCUCUGGGAUCCCAUGGCAGCUGCAGCACUGAAGUAGAGAAGGACACCCAGGAGAAGAUGGCCAUCCUUCAGACCUACUUCCGGCAGAAUAGGGAUGAAGUCUUGGAUAACCUCUUGGCCUUUGUCUGCGACAUCCGGCCAGAAAUCCAUGAGAACUACCGCAUAAAUGGAUAGAGGGAGAAGAAAAGUGCCUGUUCCGUGGAUUGGCGUUUUGAAUGCCUUCAUGGAACGUGAGGUUUCAUUUAGCAAGGCUUGAGUUAUAUCUUAUGAAAAGGCAUUAAAUUAUUUCUGUACAUUA